rnacentral:rRNA from 1 species
AAACCGACACAGGUAGAUGAGGAGAGAAUCCUAAGGUGAGCGAGAGAACUCUCGUUAAGGAACUCGGCAAAAUGACCCCGUAACUUCGGGAGAAGGGGUGCUCUAUUAGGGUGCAAGCCCGAGAGAGCCGCAGUGAAUAGGCCCAGGCGACUGUUUAGCAAAAACACAGGUCUCUGCAAAACCGUAAGGUGACGUAUAGGGGCUGACGCCUGCCCGGUGCUGGAAGGUUAAGAGGAGUGCUUAGCUUCGGCGAAGGUACGAAUUGAAGCCCCAGUAAACGGCGGCCGUAACUAUAACGGUCCUAAGGUAGCGAAAUUCCUUGUCGGGUAAGUUCCGACCCGCACGAAAGGCGCAACGAUCUGGGCACUGUCUCAACGAGAGACUCGGUGAAAUUAUAGUACCUGUGAAGAUGCAGGUUACCCGCGACAGGACGGAAAGACCCCGUGGAGCUUUACUGCAACCUGAUAUGGAAUGUUUGUACCGCUUGUACAGGAUAGGUAGGAGCCGAAGAGACGUGUGCGCUAGCAUACGAGGAGGCAAUGGUGGGAUACUACCCUGGCUGUAUGACCAUUCUAACCCGCCACGCUUAGCGCGUGGGGAGACAGUGUCAGGUGGGCAGUUUGACUGGGGCGGUCGCCUCCUAAAGAGUAACGGAGGCGCCCAAAGGUUCCCUCAGAAUGGAUGGAAAUCAUUCGCAGAGUGUAAAGGCACAAGGGAGCUUGACUGCGAGACUGACAAGUCGAGCAGGGACGAAAGUCGGGCUUAGUGAUCCGGUGGUUCCGCAUGGAAGGGCCAUCGCUCAACGGAUAAAAGCUACCCCGGGGAUAACAGGCUUAUCUCCCCCAAGAGUCCACAUCGACGGGGAGGUUUGGCACCUCGAUGUCGGCUCGUCGCAUCCUGGGGCUGUAGUCGGUCCCAAGGGUUGGGCUGUUCGCCCAUUAAAGCGGCACGCGAGCUGGGUUCAGAACGUCGUG